AGAAUCAACGCUGGCGGCGUGCCUAACACAUGCAAGUCGAACGAGAAAGUGGAGCAAUCCAUGAGUAAAGUGGCGACCGGGUGAGUAACACGUGACUAACCUACCUUCGAGUGGGGGAUAACAUCGGGAAACCGAUGCUAAUACCGCAUAACAUCGCAAGAUCAAAGCAGCAAUGCGCUGGAAGAGGGGGUCGCGGCUGAUUAGCUAGUUGGCGGGGUAACGGCCCACCAAGGCGAAGAUCGGUAGCCGGCCUGAGAGGGCGCACGGCCACACUGGAACUGAAACACGGUCCAGACUCCUACGGGAGGCAGCAGUGGGGAAUUUUGCGCAAUGGGGGAAACCCUGACGCAGCAACGCCGCGUGGAGGAUGAAGCCCCUUGGGGUGUAAACUCCUUUCGACCAAGACGAUAAUGACGGUUACUGGUGGAAGAAGCACCGGCUAACUCUGCGCCAGCAGCCGC
rnacentral:rRNA from 1 species